GCACGUUGUACAUCAGGAUAUUGCCAACGUUUCAAGUGCCAAAUUUUCAAGAAUUCGCUACAACUAGUACUUGAAAUCGUCGUUACAGUGAAGGGCUAUCAACAUUUGAAACAAUAACAAACAGUCAACAGCAAAUGGAAUGUAAAUGUCUUCUGAGGAUGCAGAAGAUCUUUUACAUGAUUCAGUUAUUGAAUUAUUUUACUUAUCUGAUUAUUCUUCAACUUUGCCAAACGAUGCUAAAGAAAGAUAUGUUGCUAAGCUCAAUGAAGUACAUUGUGACUGUCUU